CACCUAUAGAACUAGGUUACAUCUCAUUCAAUAAAUGUGUCCGUUUCUUUAAAGCCGGGCUGCCUAACUCUGGUCUGAGAAGGUGUUCUGUCAAAUAUGAAUAUGGUAAAUAUUAAUGCUAUCUACCUUUUCAUAACUGAACAGAGAUCAGUUACUAUAGCCUGCUUUUCCCAGUGUAGCAGUUAGGGCUGCACAAUUAAUCGAAUAUCGAUCGCGAUUAUGAUUUUGACUGCCCACAAUUACAUGAACAUGAUCGACAACGAUAUUGACGUUUAAAUUCGUCCUCCGCUCAUAGAAAAUUCCGUUGCAGAUCAAAUCAAGUGCUUCCUAAAUUUACAGCCAAUCAGCAUAGAGUGGCGCAGAGAUGACGUCAUUUUGUAUGCCAAAACCCGGAAACAGAGUUAGCAUUUUAGCGCUCGAGCUGCUACCUUCGCUUCGGAAAUCAUUACACUACAGAGGUUGUCAGGGACAUUAAACGUUAUCAUGCCGAACAGGAAAAAACUUUGCAGAUAAACUCGGCUCUGCUGUGCGACCAUUUCACUCGCAUUUACGACUGAAAAGUACUUUGUGCGACUGUGAAUAAAUAUUUAUUUGCACCAGUGUGAGUGAUCUGUUCGGAGUUGUAUAAUACAAUCGGAAUAAAAACUACAGGAAGUCCAAAAUGCAUCUACAGCAAGCAACAGUUACUUUCACACUGCUUUUCAUCACCUCAGUCAACCGAACAAGUGUCGAAAUACUGCAGAGAAGCCAUUAUGAUGAUGAGUAACUCUGACAAGAGUAACAUCUGCUUCAACUUCCCGAUCUCACAAACUGCGACUGUGACCUGCUCUUGUAAACACAGUGGCAUCGGGUGGAGUAAAUUAAUAAUAAUGCUAACACUACAAGGCUAUGGGAAAAUCCUAUUGGGUUUUUGUCAAGGGAACCGGUGUGAUGAUAACUUCGGGGUUUCGGUACAAAAUGACGUCAUCUCUGCACCGCUUUAUUGGGUGG